CUAUGGUCGCCGUCGCCAUCUUGCGUCCGUCGCGGCCGCUGCGCGCGCCACCCACUCCUGCUCCCUCCGCGGUCUCGCGCGAUCUGGGCGCCGGCGCACGGAACUCUCGCGAGGAACGAGAAAACGCUGUUGCGGGCGUCGUCCAGAGGCUCUCCGCGAGGAGGCAGAGGAAAGAGCGGGGGCCCUCCUGGGCUGGAGGAAUCUCGGGUGACGAAAGGCCCGCGUAUUUCAGGCUCACGUCGUGAGAUGCGUCGUCCUUGAGUCGCGAUAUCCCUGGGGUUGGGAAGCCUGGUUUCUUGGCAGCCUUUUCUCCUUCGAGGGAUUCAUCAGUCCCCAGCGCCUCUGGCGUAUGCCCCAGCCAUAGGUUGGCUGACAUCAGUCACUCGGCCCGCAGGCCCCCUUAGUCCCUGAACUGGCUUUCAUGGCCCAAGGUGUCCAUCAAUGCUGCCGGGAGAGCUGCCUGUCCUGGACGUUUGCCAUCUGCUACAGCCAGUCCCGAGACCUCAACACGGUCAUCUGAAGAAGCCACAUCUGUAGGCUCAGGCACCUUCAGCUGCCUGAGACCACAAGGCAUCCUCUCUAUGCAGCAGGCCUCUCUAUGCAGAAAGGGCCUCCUUUCAACCCUGGGAACGUCUGGAAUUUAAUAGACACUUCUACUUAAAUAGGGCAGGAUAUUCCCCACCUCCCUCCUGCAACCAUCUGAAAUGAUAGGAAAGGGGUUUUAUAAAGAAACCCUGCAAGGGCAAAGAGCUGGGAUAUUGUAGAGCCGGAGGAAGGUGGACAGCCAGAGCUGCUGCAGCCCACUCGGCUAUAGAGGCUGGUGUCUGAGGGUCGUGGGUGAAAGCACGGCCAGAGAAAGGAAACCCCAGACCUCUGUCCCUACCCGCUGGGGCUGGCAGGCCCUGUGGUGGCUGGGAUGUGAGCUCCCAGAGAGGAGUUCUGAGGCCCCACUUAAGCAAGCCCCUGUCUAAAAGCCUGAGAGUAAAUAAGACUCUGGUUCCUUCCCCUACCUCCACCCCUGGGCUGCGUCUGGCCUCCAGCAUGCCAUCAGGCCUCUUAGGAGGGUUCCUCUCUGCAGCAGCUCCCAGCUCAAAAGAAAAAAACUGGCAGCUAGGGGCAGAGGGGUGCCCAGUAGAAUGGCCCAGCCAGAUCACUGGCCUUGAAGCUCGCCAGGCCAUAAGUACCAGCCACUGAAAGCAUCUCACUCUUAAAUGCAACUGGACAGCCCAGGAUCACCAGACACAAGAGAAAGAAGAAAAGGGACUGAGAAGGAACAGAGACAAUAAAGGAAACUAAAACAUCAUUUUUAGAGAUAUUAGAGGUAUCACAGCCAAUCAAAAGGACCUGGAAGCUACAGAGAAAGAACACACGGAACGAGAAAGAGCUCUUAGAAAUAAAACAUAUGAGGGGAAAGUGAGCAAUUCAAUAGGGUGUAGGAUGAAGUCUUCUGCCUGGUCAUGACGGCUCAUGCCUAUAAGCCCAGCACUUUGGGAGGUGGAAGUGGGCAGAUCUCCUGAGGCUGGGAGUUCGAGACCAGCCUGACCAACAUGGAGAAACCAUGUCUCUGGUAAAAAUACAAAAUUAGCCAGGCAUGGUGACACAUGCCUGAAGUCCCAGCUACACGGGAGGCUGAGGCAGGAGAAUCACUUGAACUCAGGAGGUGGAGACUGAGGUGAGCUGAGAUUGUGCCAUUGUACUCUAGCCUGACCAACAAGAGUGAAACUCCAUCUCAAAAAAAAAAAAAGAAGAAAAAAGGAUAAAGUCUUCCAGAAUGGAGAACAAGAAAACCAGAUAGCUGGAAAACAA